rnacentral:rRNA from 1 species
UCAAGCUAGAAAGGGCAAAUGGUGGAUGCCUUGGCGCCAAGAGGCGAUGAAGGACGCGGUCAGCUGCGAAAAGCUCCGGGGAGCCGCUAAACAGGCUUUGAUCCGGAGGUGUCCGAAUGGGGAAACCCGGUCCCGGUAAUACGGGGCCAUCAAGCUUAGGCUUGAGGCGAACCCGGGGAACUGAAACAUCUCAGUACCCGGAGGAAAAGAAAUCAAAAGAGAUUCCGCAAGUAGCGGCGAGCGAACGCGGAACAGCCCAAACCGGAGUCUUCGGACUUCGGGGUUGUAGGGUCCCGACAAGGGGAUGUUGAAGGGUAGCGGAAUGGUCUGGAAAGGCCGUCCAUAGAGGGUGAGAGGCCCGUACGCAAAACCCGGAAGCACCUCUGGGAUACCCUGAGUACCGCGGGGCACGUGGAACCCCGUGGGAAGCUGGGAGGACCAUCUUCCAAGGCUAAAUACUACUUGGCGACCGAUAGUGAACUAGUACCGUGAGGGAAAGGUGAAAAGUACCCCGGGAGGGGAGUGAAAUAGUACCUGAAACCAUUUGCCUACAAGCAGUGGGAGGACGGUGACAAGGGUUACGGCCUUUGUCUGUCUGACCGCGUGCCUUUUGCAUAAUGAGUCAGCGAGUUACUCUCUGUGGCAAGGUUAAGCCGAGCGAGGUGUAGCCGAAGCGAAAGCGAGUCCGAACAGGGCGCAAUAGUUGCAGGGAGUAGACCCGAAACCAGGUGAUCUAUCCAUGGCCAGGGUGAAGGUAAGGUAACGCUUACUGGAGGCCCGAACCGAAGAGGGUUGAAAACCUCUCGGAUGAGCUGUGGAUAGGAGUGAAAGGCUAAUCAAACCUGGAAAUAGCUGGUUCUCCCCGAAAUGCAUUGAGGUGCAGCCUCGGAGUGAGAACGGCGGAGGUAGAGCGCUGGAUGGGCUAGGGGUCUUACCGGAUUACCAAACCCAACCAAACUGCGAAUGCCGCCGUAUCGUCUCCGGGAGUGAGACUGCGGGAGAUAAGUUCCGCGGUCGAGAGGGAAAGAGCCCAGACCGUCAGCUAAGGUCCCCAAAUAGGCGCUAAGUGGCAAAGGAUGUGGGGAUGCACAGACAACCAGGAGGUUGGCUUAGAAGCAGCCAUCCUUUAAAGAAAGCGUAAUAGCUCACUGGUCAAGUGUGCCUGCGCCGAAAAUUUAACGGGUCUAAAGCGCCUUACCGAAGCUGCGGCAACAGAGGUCGGAUAACAGAUGUCGGGUGUCGGAUAUCAGAGGUCGGAGAAUGCCCAUCUAUAGCUAUCGUGAUCUUGAGGUGUACGGGGAGGCUUUCGAGCUUGCCCUGAAGGUGCACCGAAGGAGUGAGGACUUCCCGUCGGCGGAAUGCUACGGGAUGACUUCCCAGGUGCGCAGGAGUUCGAAGAGCAUCUGUGCGUUGAUAGCGGAGGGGUUUGGCCGCAAGGAUACCGUGGUUGAGUUUAAGAGGUACUUGCGGAUGGCGCAUGGGUCGGUGCAGGAAACCAAGGUGUGGCUGGGGUUUGCCGAAGCCCUGGGUUUUCUGGCCGAAGGUGCGUACCGGGAGUUGUGGGAAGGCUAUGAUCGUCUUGGGAAACGGAUAUACAGGAUGAUCGCGACGUGGGACAAGGUUGGGUCGCAAGCCGGAACGCGAUGAGUUCUCCGAGUGGUGAUAUGUUCGAUACCGUAAUGGAUAGCAUCGGGAAGGUCGGGGUUUUGUGAUACCGACAGCCGAUACCCGAUACCCGUUAUCCGACCUCCGUUGGGUAGGGGAGCAUUGCACGAGCCUGCGAAGGUGUACCGUGAGGAGCGCUGGAGGCAGUGCAAGAGAUUAUGCUGACAUGAGUAACGAUAAAGCGGGUGAGAAUCCCGCUCGCCGUAAGCCUAAGGUUUCCUGGGUAAAGGUCGUCUGCCCAGGGUUAGUCGGCCCCUAAGCCGAGGCAGAAAUGCGUAGGUGAUGGGAAACGGGUUAAUAUUCCUGUACCACCGGGAAAGCGUUAAAAGCGAUGGGGGGACGCAGGAGGGUAGGCCAUCCGGGUGUUGGAAGUCCCGGUAUAAGCCUGUAGGCGGGGAUGGCAGGCAAAUCCGCUGUCCUGUAUAACGCCGAGAGGUGAUGUGGAGGGCGAAAGCCCGCAAACUGGUUGAUCCCAGACUGCCAAGAAAAGCCUCUAGUGAGUUUUCCAGGUGACCGUACCGCAAACCGACACAGGUAGGCGAGGAGAGAAUCCUAAGGCGCGUGAGAGAACCCUGUUUAAGGAACUCGGCAAAAUGACACCGUAACCUAGGGAGAAGGUGUGCCCUCAUCAGGUGAAGGGACUUGCUCCUGGAGCCGAGGGGGGUUGCAGAGAAGAGGCGGUAGCGACUGUUUACUAAAAACACAGGACUCUGCUAAGUCGCAAGACGACGUAUAGGGUCUGACGCCUGCCCGGUGCUGGAAGGUUAAGGGGAGAUGUUAUUGCGCAAGCGAGAAGCGUUGAACACGGCGGCCGUAACUAUAACGGUCCUAAGGUAGCGAAAUUCCUUGUCGGGUAAGUUCCGACCUGCACGAAUGGCGUAACGACUUCCGCACUGUCUCAAACAGGGACUCAGUGAAAUUGCAGUCUCGGUGCAGAUACCGAGUACCCGCGGCUAGACGGAAAGACCCCGUGCACCUUUACUACAGCUUGGCAUUGGAUUUUGGGCGUGUAUGUGUAGGAUAGGUGGGAGGCGAUGAAGCGGGGGCGCCAGCUCUCGUGGAGCCAACGUUGAAAUACCACCCUUAUGCGUCUAGAGUUCUAACCCAGGAAAGUGAUCCUUUCCGGGGACAGUGCCUGGUGGGUAGUUUGACUGGGGCGGUCGCCUCCCAAAGGGUAACGGAGGCGCGCGAAGGUUCCCUCAGGCUGAUUGGAAACCAGCCGUAGAGUGUAAAGGCAGAAGGGAGCCUGACUGUGAGACGGACACGUCGAGCAGGGACGAAAGUCGGUCUUAGUGAUCCGGUGGUUCUGAAUGGAAGGGCCAUCGCUCAACGGAUAAAAGGUACGCCGGGGAUAACAGGCUGAUCUCCCCCA